rnacentral:lncRNA from 1 species
UUUAAAACAAACAAUAAAAAAACUUAACUUUACCAUUCUAUAAUUUAAAAAUAUUAUUUUACUAUUAUAUAAGAGUCCGACUGUGAUACUAUCGAUAGCACCAAAAGUGUUUGGUGCUAUCAAAUUUUCCGCCAUUAUAUUUAACUCAUUGACUAUUUUCACCCGUUAGAUUAUACUAUUAAACUAAUAACUCACUCAAUUCUAGAGGGCACAUAUCUUCCUAACCGUAUAUUUUUUCAAUUUAAGGGUCAAAAACUUAAUAGCACAAAUAGCUUGGUGCUAUUUAUAGUAUUUCAGUCUAGAUAUAUAAUUUUAUUUUUAUUUUAGGCUUAAUUACAUUGUAGAAUAUUAUAGUUUAUAAUUUUUUUUCACUUUUACAGUACUAACUUUUUUUUUCAAAAACACCAUAUAUUAUUAUAUUUUAUUAAUCUUUAUACUAUAUUUUAAAAUUUUUUUAUUUUAUAUUUUUAUAAAUAUUACUGAACUAUUUUUUAUUAAAAUAUCUAUGUUAUUAUUAAUAUAUGGCCAAUUUGCAUAAAAAAUCCACUUAUUUUGGACUUUUGCAAAAUCGGGCCACCUUUUUCAUUUUUGCAGAUUCAGUCCGUUUUUUCAACAAACUGACCAAAAUACCCUUAUUACUUUUUCUCUUUCCUCUUUCUCUCUCCUCUUCGUUUCUGUCGUUCUUUUUUUUUUUCUUGCCGAAAAAAAAGAGGCGGAUUGGACCGUCGCCUCCCUCCUCACCCUCCUUCUUCACCGAUGCCUCCCUCCUUACCCUCCUCUCCACCGCGCGCGACCCCUCCUCCUCUCCCCCGCCGCC